UGGGAGGUGAUCAUCUGGACAUUUGCAGAGCGAGUGAAUGUAUAAAACGUAGAAAAAGAAAUCAGAUGCUCUCAUAAUCAGCCUAAUCCUUUCUUGAAGUCGCUAAUAUGCAAAUUAUCAUUGCCUUUUAUAAUUUGUUUAGCUCUUCACCCAACAAUGUUUAUAAUAGUAGAGGCAGCCAACCUCCACGCCAUUUUGCUUACUGGUCCAUGGCCACCUC
rnacentral:lncRNA from 1 species